UACGUAGGGCGCAAGCGUUGUCCGGAAUUAUUGGGCGUAAAGAGCUCGUAGGCGGUUUGUCGCGUCUGCUGUGAAAACCUGAGGCUCAACCUCGGGCUUGCAGUGGGUACGGGCAGACUAGAGUGCGGUAGGGGUGACUGGAAUUCCUGGUGUAGCGGUGGAAUGCGCAGAUAUCAGGAGGAACACCGAUGGCGAAGGCAGGUCACUGGGCCGCAACUGACGCUGGAGGAGCG
rnacentral:rRNA from 1 species